UAAUACCGCAUACGAUCUGUGGAUGAAAGCGGGGGCUCCUUCGGGACCUCGCGCUACAGGGGCGGCCGAUGGCAGAUUAGCUAGUUGGUGGGGUAAAGGCCUACCAAGGCGACGAUCUGUAGCUGGUCUGAGAGGACGACCAGCCACACUGGGACUGAGACACGGCCCAGACUCCUACGGGAGGCAGCAGUGGGGAAUUUUGGACAAUGGGCGCAAGCCUGAUCCAGCAAUGCCGCGUGUGUGAAGAAGGCCUUCGGGUUGUAAAGCACUUUUGUCCGGAAAGAAAACCGCUUCUCUAAUACAGAGGUGGGAUGACGGUACCGGAAGAAUAAGCACCGGCUAACUACGUGCCAGCAGCCGCGGUAAUACGUAGGGUGCAAGCGUUAAUCGGAAUUACUGGGCGUAAAGCGUGCGCAGGCGGUUCGCUAAGACCGAUGUGAAAUCCCCGGGCUUAACCUGGGAACUGCAUUGGUGACUGGCGGGCUAGAGUAUGGCA
rnacentral:rRNA from 1 species